UUUUUAAUUGUGAGACAUGCAAUGUUUCUAUUUUAAUGUUAAGUUCCUUAAUAUUUUGUAGUAGUAUGCUACUUUUGUAGCCCAAGCUGACUAAAUUUUUUACACUUUCAAGUAUUAAAAAUAAUCGCUAGUUAUUUCCAGGCAAGAAAACAAUUUUUUAGUAUAGAAGUUUCCCAAGUUCGUUAAUACGGUAACAACCAGGCGUAUAGCGAUGUAUGUGGAGUUGUAUACCCACACCAUUAAACGUUUCUUUAUUAUUCGAAUACACAAAAAGGGCAUUGAGUGUAGGGGUUCUUCUCGCGAGUUUAUAGCAGUACGCCAAAGCGCUGUAAAAGUGCUUUUUUCCACCACAAGGGAUAGGUCGUAGUACUUAUUCAAUUGUGGCAGCGAAUGGUCAACAUCAUCACUGCACUACACAGAAGUUAACGCAAUCAAGUGGACAAAAUAUGAUCCUUUACGUAAUGCCUCUUGGUUGAUGUUAGAAAGGUUCAUGGUCUACAAAUACCAAACAUGCCAUUAACGAGGUUUGAAGUUAAUCAUAGGACUGCAAAUUUAGAUUGACUAACGAAUAGGAGAGAUUCGGAAGUUAAUUUUGACCCUACCAAUGAGGACGUGAACUGUAUGUACUGGUUUCCUUUCUCAAUUUGGUUUGCUUUCCACACAUGUAAACCAUGGAAUGUUAUAUUCUACAGCAAAUUCAGGUAAUAAUACAUAUUUAAAUUAGUAUUAAUUACACUUUAUUAAUCUGUUGCUAAUUUGGUUAACAAACGACGUCCUGGAACUUAAUGCAUAGGAGGACGAGCCUGUAUUGCUUCCUUGUAUAAAUACUGUUCGAUUGACCAUUAUUUAGUUAGAGUUAUAGGUAAUUGCGAACUUCAGUCUACCAAUUUUUUUCUAAAAAGGCUUAGUUGGCGUUUAUAGCUCCACUACAUUUUGCUGAUUUUGCCAUAAAAAUUCAUA